rnacentral:rRNA from 1 species
GGCCAGACUCCUACGGGAGGCAGCAGUGGGGAAUAUUGCACAAUGGGGGAAACCCUGAUGCAGCGACGCCGCGUGAGUGAAGAAGUAUUUCGGUAUGUAAAGCUCUAUCAGCAGGGAAGAAAAUGACGGUACCUGACUAAGAAGCCCCGGCUAACUACGUGCCAGCAGCCGCGGUAAUACGUAGGGGGCAAGCGUUAUCCGGAUUUACUGGGUGUAAAGGGAGCGUAGACGGCAUGGCAAGUCAGAUGUGAAAGCCCGGGGCUCAACCCCGGGACUGCAUUUGAAACUGUCAGGCUGGAGUGCAGAAGAGGUAAGUGGAAUUCCUAGUGUAGCGGUGAAAUGCGUAGAUAUUAGGAGGAACACCAGUGGCGAAGGCGGCUUACUGGACUGUAACUGACGUUGAGGCUCGAAAGCGUGGGGAGCAAACAGGAUUAGAUACCCCGGUAA